GACGAACGCUGGCGGCGUGCCUAAUACAUGCAAGUCGAGCGAGGAACUUCGGUUCCUAGCGGCGAACGGGUGAGUAACACGUGGGCAACCUGCCCUCAAGCUUGGGAUAACUCCGGGAAACCGGGGCUAACACCAGAUGAUCUUCUUUUUCGCAUGAAAGAGAAGUAAAAGUUUACACUUGAGGAUGGGCCCGCGGUGCAUUAGCUAGUUGGUAGGGUAACGGCUUACCAAGGCGACGAUGCAUAGCCGACCUGAGAGGGUGACCGGCCACACUGGGACUGAGACACGGCCCAGACUCCUACGGGAGGCAGCAGUAGGGAAUUUUCCGCAAUGGGCGCAAGCCUGACGGAGCAACGCCGCGUGAGUGAAGACGGCCUUCGGGUUGUAAAGCUCUGUUCUUAGGGAAGAAAAACAUGACGGUACCUAAGCAGAAAGCCCCGGCUAACUACGUGCCAGCAGCCGCGGUAAUAC
rnacentral:rRNA from 1 species